UACGGGGGGGGCAGGCGUUGUUCGGAAUUACUGGGCGUAAAGGGCUCGUAGGUGGCCAACUAAGUCAGACGUGAAAUCCCUCGGCUUAACCGGGGAACUGCGUCUGAUACUGGAUGGCUUGAGUUCGGGAGAGGGAUGCGGAAUUCCAGGUGUAGCGGUGAAAUGCGUAGAUAUCUGGAGGAACACCGGUGGCGAAGGCGGCAUCCUGGACCGACACUGACACUGAGGAGCGAAGGCCAGGGGAGCAAACGGG
rnacentral:rRNA from 1 species